rnacentral:rRNA from 1 species
ACUCCUGCGGGAGGCAGCAGUGGGGAAUAUUGGACAAUGGGCGCAAGCCUGAUCCAGCCAUGCCGCGUGAGUGAUGAAGGCCCUAGGGUUGUAAAGCUCUUUUGUGCGGGAAGAUAAUGACGGUACCGCAAGAAUAAGCCCCGGCUAACUUCGUGCCAGCAGCCGCGGUAAUACGAAGGGGGCUAGCGUUGCUCGGAAUCACUGGGCGUAAAGGGUGCGUAGGCGGGUCUUUAAGUCAGGGGUGAAAUCCUGGAGCUCAACUCCAGAACUGCCUUUGAUACUGAAGAUCUUGAGUUCGGGAGAGGUGAGUGGAACUGCGAGUGUAGAGGUGAAAUUCGUAGAUAUUCGCAAGAACACCAGUGGCGAAGGCGGCUCACUGGCCCGAUACUGACGCUGAGGCACGAAAGCGUGGGGAGCAAACAGGAUUAGAUACCCGGGUAGUCCCAUG